rnacentral:misc_RNA from 1 species
UCCGUUUUGUCAACGGCAGUCUCUCUAGAGUGCCCAACUAAAUGCUGGCAACUAAAGAUAAGGGUUGCGCUCGUUGCGGGACUUAACCCAACAUCUCACGACACGAGCUGACGACAACCAUGCACCACCUGUACAGGAUCCCUUGCGGACCCGACGUUUCUGCCGGUUUACCCUGUAUGUCAAGCCUUGGUAAGGUUCUUCGCGUUGCAUCGAAUUAAUCCGCAUGCUCCGCCGCUUGUGCGGGCCCCCGUCAAUUCCUUUGAGUUUUAGCCUUGCGGCCGUACUCCCCAGGCGGGGCGCUUAGUGCGUUAGCUGCGGCACGGAACUCGUGGAAUGAGCCCCACACCUAGCGCCCAACGUUUACGGCUAGGACUAC